UCAUUUCAAUAGGUGACGAGGAUCUUACGAGCUUUAAGUUUUCUUUACAACAUUUUAUACAUUGCGAGCAAACAUGAUGAAGAUAUUCGCUGUGAUGUUUGUAUUAGUGGUCGUGUCAACAGCAAAGAAUUUUGACCAUUAUGAGACUCGUGAAGAUAUAGACAUCGAUCUUAUAAUGUCCCAAAAAGAGAUUGUCGUGGCAUACUUGGAUUGUUUCCUAGAGAGAAAAAAAUGCGAUCCCCUACUUGAAAACUACAAAGAUAGUUUGGCCGACGUUAUCGAAACAGCUUGCAUCAAGUGCACUGACAACCAGAAACAUUUGACUAACCGAUUCCUGACACUACUCGAAGAUAAUUACCCCACUGAAUAUUCUGAAUUAUUGAAAAAGUAUGAUUCCAGCAAUAAAUACAUCGAUGUAUUAAGGAAAGCCAUAGCGCAGUUUUGAAGGGAUUAAAUAUUUUUGUAAUAACACCACAAAA